UACGAACUGUGCGACCGUUAUUCGGAAUCACUGGGCUUACAGGGUGCGUAGGCGGCUCAACAAGUCAGGUGUGAAAGCCCCCGGCUCAACCGGGGAACUGCGCUUGAAACUGUUAGGCUCGAGUCAGCUAGAGGUACACGGAACUUCCAGUGGAGCGGUGAAAUGUGUUGAUAUUGGAAGGAACACCGGAGGCGAAAGCGGUGUACUGGGGCUGGUCUGACGCUGAGGCACGAAAGCCAGGGGAGCGAACGGG
rnacentral:rRNA from 1 species